rnacentral:misc_RNA from 1 species
UUUCCGUAGGUGAACCUGCGGAAGGAUCAUUAAUGAGUUGUCAUGGGGUUCGAUGCUGGCAGCCAGUUUUUGGAUGCAUGUGCUUGCCCUAACAAUCAUCUUCUUCCAAACACCUGUGCACAUUUUUGAGGGAGUCUUGAGUUGGUUGCCGCUCUUGGGUGAUUUUCUCACUUUCCCUUAAAUCAUUAUACGCUAUUAACAAUGUUGAACGUGCUCUGUGCCGCAAGGCCAUUAAUAUAAUACAACUUUUAACAACGGAUCUCUUGGCUCUC